CCUAUUUCUACCUUAUAAAUACGAAGGGCUGUAGAAGCUUAGAUCCCUUGUUCACUAGAAACAAGGAGCCCCCUGUCACCUUCUUUUAAAACAGAUCUUUCUGUCUCUGUCUUCAUUUCUCCAUUCAUCCCCCUUCAUUCAAUCCUGUAGCAACUGGCAGUGACAAGUGGUGCCCAGGACAGGGACAUGAGCAAAGAAGGUCUGCUGGAGCAGAGAAAGUGAAACUGACCAGAUGAGCAAGAAACCUUGGGACAAGUCUACUGGCAGCUAAUAUAAGGACAUGGACAAACUGUGUGGGUUCCCCCACCAUGUAUGUGACCAUGGAAUGGGAGACUGGAGGGACCCAUGGAUCCCAACCAUGGGCCCAGCUCCUCCAAUAUGAGCCAUGAGCCAGUUGAAUCUGAAUGCAAAGACAUGGGGACAGAUCAAGAAAACCACACAAAAAGCUGAGAAACUGCUAGAGCAUCAGGUCUUCAAAAUCAGGUGGACCACCAAAUGGCAAUUGAGAGCUGCAGAACCUGCAAUUACCUUUAUUCAAUUAAUGAAAAAACAAAAAGAGGGAGAUGUUACAGGCCAAAAGAAUGAGGGUCGUGACCAACUCAGCAUACCACUGGAGGCUAUAUGAGCAAACAGAAAACUGUUCUCAUGAAAGCAGGAUGUUGGAAAACUGAUGACUAUGUCUGCCCCCAGAAGGAGUGCUGAGGGCAAUCACACCCCAAGCACAGUGUUCCUUGUGAUUAUCUGUAGGAAUAUCUGAAGCCUGUUGUACAAAGAAAGAAAUUAUGUGUACCUGUGAUAAAUCAAGCAGCUGACCAACCAUUACCUCUUCCUCCCUGCUCUUUUCACCUAAUAAAUAUGAAGGGCUGUAGAAGCUCAAAGCCUUUGUUCACUAGAAGCAAGGAGCCCCUGACACCUUCUUUUAAAACAGAU
rnacentral:lncRNA from 10 species